CUCCGACCUCAGAUCGGACGAGAUUACCCGCUGAAUUUAAGCAUAUAACUAAGCGGAGGAAAAGAAACUAACAAGGAUUU
rnacentral:rRNA from 1 species